AGAGGUUACUCAGGCAAAAAGGAAGUUUUGCUUAAAAAAACAGACAAACAUCUUGUAUCACAGCGCCUCUCCUCUUUCUAUAAACAUCUUGUAUAACAGCCUCAUCACAGCCUUUUCUAUAAACAUCUUGUAUAACAGUGCCUCUCCUCUUUCUAUAAACAUCUUGUAUAACAGUCUCAUCACAGCCUCUUUCUAUAAACAUCUUGUAUAACAUCUCAUCACAGCCUCUUUCUAUAAACACUCUUGUAUAACAGGCCUCUCCUCUCUCUAUAAACAUCUUGUAUCA
rnacentral:lncRNA from 1 species